GCUCAGGACGAACGCUGGCGGCGUGCUUAACACAUGCAAGUCGAACGGAAAGGCCCUGCUUUUGUGGGGUGCUCGAGUGGCGAACGGGUGAGUAACACGUGAGUAACCUGCCCUUGACUUUGGGAUAACUUCAGGAAACUGGGGCUAAUACCGGAUAGGAGCUCCUGCUGCAUGGUGGGGGUUGGAAAGUUUCGGCGGUUGGGGAUGGACUCGCGGCUUAUCAGCUUGUUGGUGGGGUAGUGGCUUACCAAGGCUUUGACGGGUAGCCGGCCUGAGAGGGUGACCGGCCACAUUGGGACUGAGAUACGGCCCAGACUCCUACGGGAGGCAGCAGUGGGGAAUAUUGCACAAUGGGCGGAAGCCUGAUGCAGCAACGCCGCGUGCGGGAUGACGGCCUUCGGGUUGUAAACCGCUUUCGCCUGUGACGAAGCGUGAGUGACGGUAAUGGGUAAAGAAGCACCGGCUAACUACGUGCCAGCAGCCGCGGUGAUACGUAGGGUGCGAGCGUUGUCCGGAUUUAUUGGGCGUAAAGGGCUCGUAGGUGGUUGAUCGCGUCGGAAGUGUAGUCUUGGGGCUUAACCCUGAGCGUGCUUUCGAUACGGGUUGACUUGAGGAAGGUAGGGGAGAAUGGAAUUCCUGGUGGAGCGGUGGAAUGCGCAGAUAUCAGGAGGAACACCAGUGGCGAAGGCGGUUCUCUGGGCCUUUCCUGACGCUGAGGAGCGAAAGCGUGGGGAGCGAACAGGCUUAGAUACCCUGGUAGUCCACGCUGUAAACGGUGGGUACUAGGUGUGGGGUCCAUUCCACGGGCUCCGUGCCGUAGCUAACGCUUUAAGUACCCCGCCUGGGGAGUACGGCCGCAAGGCUAAAACUCAAAGGAAUUGACGGGGCCCCGCACAAGCGGCGGAGCAUGCGGAUUAAUUCGAUGCAACGCGUAGAACCUUACCUGGGUUUGACAUGGAUCGGGAGUGCUCAGAGAUGGGUGUGCCUCUUUUGGGGUCGGUUCACAGGUGGUGCAUGGCUGUCGUCAGCUCGUGUCGUGAGAUGUUGGGUUAAGUCCCGCAACGAGCGCAACCCUUGUUCACUGUUGCCAGCACGUUAUGGUGGGGACUCAGUGGAGACCGCCGGGGUCAACUCGGAGGAAGGUGGGGAUGACGUCAAGUCAUCAUGCCCCUUAUGUCCAGGGCUUCACGCAUGCUACAAUGGCUGGUACAGAGAGUGGCGAGCCUGUGAGGGUGAGCGAAUCUCGGAAAGCCGGUCUCAGUUCGGAUUGGGGUCUGCAACUCGACCUCAUGAAGUCGGAGUCGCUAGUAAUCGCAGAUCAGCAACGCUGCGGUGAAUACGUUCCCGGGGCUUGUACACACCGCCCGUCAAGUCAUGAAAGUUGGUAACACCCGAAGCCGGUGGCCUAACCGUUGUGGGGGAGCCGUCGAAGGUGG
rnacentral:rRNA from 1 species